rnacentral:rRNA from 1 species
CCCUUAUCAUUAGUUGCUAACAUUCAGUUGAGAACUCUAAUGAGACUGCCAGUGAUAAACUGGAGGAAGGUGGGGAUGACGUCAAAUCAUCAUGCCCCUUAUGACCUGGGCUACACACGUGCUACAAUGGCCGGUACAAAGAGUUGCGAAACUGUGAAGUUAAGCUAAUCUCAUAAAGCCGGUCUCAGUUCGGAUUGUAGUCUGCAACUCGACUACAUGAAGUCGGAAUCGCUAGUAAUCGCGAAUCAGAAUGUCGCGGUGAAUACGUUCUCGAGUCUU